UUAAUCUUGGCAAGUAAAGAAUUCAGCCUCUUUUUCUCUCCUCUCCUCCUAUAAAUUGAGGGGUUUGAUCCAUUAUUUCACUCUCUCACACACACACACACACACAAAACGAAAAGAAAAGAAAACAUAGACAAGUAUUUUCAAUGCUUUGUACCAAUUUUUCUAUAAUUUUUUAUAAAAGAUUUUAUUCGGUAAUUUCAAGUCAGUGUCAAUAGCUACCACAGGAAGGAAAAACACUAAGGUAUGCAUUCAAAACAAGUUCUAUAUCUGUUUUCAUUGUUGUUUAUUUACUAUUUACUAUUUACUAUUUACUAUUUACUAUUUAAUCUUUUUUCAUCAAUAACAUUAUUAAUUUGUUUCAACAAUAUUUGGAUAAGCAAUUAGAUAUAUGCAUGGAUUAGUAAUAUCAAUUAGUACAUACUAGUUGCCAUAAAAACAAUAAUACUUGUUUGUGUUGGAAUAAAUUUUUGCUUCAUGUCUUCGAUGUCUUGUUGAAUAUUGUAAUAUCACUUUUAUAUAUCAUCAAAUGUGUUACAUUGUAAUAUCA